rnacentral:rRNA from 1 species
GUGGGGAAUCUUCCGCAAUGGGCGCAAGCCUGACGGAGCAAUGCCGCGUGAGUGAAGAAGGCCUUCGGGUUGUAAAACUCUGUCCUUAUCGAAGAGAGCGUAGUGUAGUAACUGCCAUUACGAGGACGGUAGAUAAGGAGGAAGCCCCGGCUAACUAUGUGCCAGCAGCCGCGGUAAAACAUAGGGGGCAAGCGUUGUCCGGAAUCACUGGGCGUAAAGGGCGCGCAGGCGGUUUUUUAAGUCAGGUGUGAAAGUUCGGGGCUCAACCCCGUGAUGGCACCUGAUACUGGAAGACUUGAGUAUGGGAGAGGCAAGUGGAAUUCCUAGUGUAGCGGUGAAAUGCGUAGAUAUUAGGAGGAACACCAGUGGCGAAGGCGGCUUGCUGGACCAAAACUGACGCUGAGGCGCGAAAGCGUGGGGAGCAAACAGGA